UGAAGGCCUUCGGGUCGUAAACCUCUUUCGAUCGGGAAAAAUGGGUGGGUGAAUAGCCUGCUCUGAUGGUACCGGAAGAAGAAGCCCCGGCUAACUACGUGC
rnacentral:rRNA from 1 species